rnacentral:rRNA from 2 species
UGGAUCCAGACUUUGAUCAUGGCUCAGGAUGAACGCUAGCUACAGGCUUAACACAUGCAAGUCGAGGGGAAACGACAUCGAAAGCUUGCUUUUGAUGGGCGUCGACCGGCGCACGGGUGAGUAACGCGUAUCCAACCUGCCCACCACUUGGGGAUAACCUUGCGAAAGUAAGGCUAAUACCCAAUGACGUCUCUAGAAGACAUCUGAAAGAGAUUAAAGAUUUAUCGGUGAUGGAUGGGGAUGCGUCUGAUUAGCUUGUUGGCGGGGUAACGGCCCACCAAGGCUACGAUCAGUAGGGGUUCUGAGAGGAAGGUCCCCCACAUUGGAACUGAGACACGGUCCAAACUCCUACGGGAGGCAGCAGUGAGGAAUAUUGGUCAAUGGACGAGAGUCUGAACCAGCCAAGUAGCGUGCAGGAUGACGGCCCUAUGGGUUGUAAACUGCUUUUAUAAGGGAAUAAAGUGAGUCUCGUGAGACUUUUUGCAUGUACCUUAUGAAUAAGGACCGGCUAAUUCCGUGCCAGCAGCCGCGGUAAUACGGAAGGUCCGGGCGUUAUCCGGAUUUAUUGGGUUUAAAGGGAGCGUAGGCCGGAGAUUAAGCGUGUUGUGAAAUGUAGACGCUCAACGUCUGCACUGCAGCGCGAACUGGUUUCCUUGAGUACGCACAAAGUGGGCGGAAUUCGUGGUGUAGCGGUGAAAUGCUUAGAUAUCACGAAGAACUCCGAUUGCGAAGGCAGCUCACUGGAGCGCAACUGACGCUGAA